GACGAACGCUGGCGGCAUGCCUAAUACAUGCAAGUCGAGCGAACAGAUGAAGUGCUUGCACUUCUGACGUUAGCGGCGAACGGGUGAGUAACACGUAAGGAAUCUACCUAUAAGCGGGGGAUAACAUUCGGAAACGGGUGCUAAUACCGCAUAAUAUCUUCUUCCGCAUGGAAGAAGAUUGAAAGACGGCUCUGCUGUCACUUAUAGAUGACCUUGCGGUGCAUUAGUUAGUUGGUGGGGUAAUGGCCUACCAAGACGAUGAUGCAUAGCCGACCUGGGAGGGUGGUCGGCCACAUUGGGACUGAGACACGGCCCAAACUCCUACGGGAGGCAGCAGUAGGGAAUCUUCCGCAAUGGGCGAAAGCCUGACGGAGCAAUGCCGCGUGAGUGAAGAAGGCCUUCGGGUCGUAAAACUCUGUUAUAAGAGAAGAAUGACAUUGAAAGUAACUGUUCAAUGUGUGACGGUAUCUUACCAGAAAGGAACGGCUAAAUACGUGCCAGCCGCCGCAGUAA
rnacentral:rRNA from 1 species